ACCCAGGCACCCCUCCGCCAAUGUAAUCUUAAUUGUAAAUCAUAGUUAAUAAAUUCUAGUGUUCUGAACACAUCUCCGCAGGAUCUAUGCAGCAUGACCUUGGAUUUGUUCUUGACUUCUCUCCCUUUCACAUCAUUUUCAAUUGACCAACAAAUCCAACCCGCUCUCCUUUCAAAAUACAUCCUCAACCCGACCUCUCCUCCCACCUCCGCAGUCCCACCCUGGACCUGGGGCCCUCAUCUCUCCCCGGGAUUGUGUGGAACCCCCUCACCGGCCCUCUGUCUCCAUCUCGCCCACUACAGGCCACAUGGCACAUGGCAGCCACAUGGACCCCUUCAAACCUUCUCUGGACCACAUCCCUCCCCAGUGGCUCCAGCCACCCCUGAGGCAAACCCGAGCUCCUCACCAUGGCCCACAGGGCCCUGCUCUUGGUCCAGAAUCUUCCUAACUUUCUGACUUUAUCCCUGGCCUCGCUUCUCACACUCACUCCUCUCAAGAGCACCUGCUCCCUUGCGCACAUUCACACGCCCUCAGGUGCCCUCACUGGGACGUCCCCCAGAUGUCCCUGUUCCCUGUGUCUUAGCUCAGCUGUGACUUCACAGAGUGGCUUUCUCUGAUUGCCUGGGAUGUCCCCCUCGCUCAUUCACUCUCCUUCUAUCCCUCAUGCCAAUUACAUUCCCGCUUGGCCACGCCGGUCCUCCGCCCUUCUCCACUUGCUCUGUGCCCCGGGACGCCGACCUCACGCAGGCUCCCUGUCCUCAGCUCCCCCUGGAUUCUGCCCGGUGAGCACUGGCCGGAAGUUGAGGACAGGAUCAGAGAGAGCUGGGACGUGGAUGUCUCGCCUCCUCCGUGCUGGGCUGUGGCAAUCCUCAACAUCCACAGCUCCUCGAUGUCCAGCCACGUGGCACAGAGGCCCGUGUGGUGAAGGAGUGAAGCCUCUGCCGACAGCCACGUGAGUGAGUCUUCUCCAACUCCUGCCAGCCUUUGAAGACUGCAGCCCCAGGGCACGACUUCCCCGCAGCCUCCUGGAGAUCCUGAGCCAGAAACCCCAGCUAGCUGCUCCCAGAAUCCUGACCCUCAAAAACCGUGCGAGGUGGCAGAUCCCUUGUGCCAAACCCGCCGAGCCUGUGAUCAAGCACGUACCGCCUCCUGCAACAAUCUGGAAACGUCUAGCCCACCUCCCCGCUGAGCCUGGCAAGACAAGAUUCCAUCUUCUGUCCCAGCCUCGGCCCCAGGCCUGACCCAGGAGGGGGGCGGGGCUUUUCAGAGCUUGAUCCCAAGGUCACCUUGAGCUUUGCCCUUCCCCAGUCCCAACGCUGUUGCCCGUUGGCUUUCCUGCAGCUUUGAAUACAAGGAGGCCAGAGACCCGGGGGAACAAAACAGACAUUCGCAUGAGUCGGAGUCUCUGGGGGUCUGGGAUGCAAUACAGUCCACCCCACGGCGGCGUUCUUCGUAUAGAACUUUGUCUUCACUUUGAAGUGAACAAACUUCUUGCUUUACCUGAGUUCUGCAGACUAAGAGGGUGUGUGAUGCCAGGAGAGCCUGGCAUCACGUGUAACCAGGGGCCGCAGUAAGGAGGGAAAGGCCCCCUUCUUCCACGUUUGUUGCUGAGAAGGAAGUGGCUAAGCACCAUUACUUCCACCAUCCCUCACUGCCUGCCCCUCCCAUCCCACCAAACGUAAACCCUCGGGCAAUGACUUUUGAUAAAAACAUAGGGAUCAUCGUCGUUUCCGUGUUGUUGUUGUUUGUUUGUUUUUUUGUUCAAACAAGUAUGGUUGGGUAGAAUUUUUAGUAGGAGAAGAGAACACGGAGAUUCGGCGAGCAAAGGGGUGCAGA